GUAAAUGUAAAUAUUUAUUAGAUUAGUAUUAGUUAUGAUCUUUAAAAUUAAAAAAUUUGGCGGUAUUUUAAUCUUUUCAGAGGAACCUGUUCUAUAAAUGAUAAUCCACGAUUUUAUUUAUUUUUAUUAUUAGUUUGUAUAUCAUCGUAAUAAAAUAUUUUUUUAGAAUUAUAAUAUUUAAAGCUUUAAAUUAAAAAAUUAAUCAGAUCAAGGUGCAGUUUAUAUAAAAAAAGAAAUGGGUUACAAUAUAUUUAUAUAUAGAUAUUUAUUAUUAAAAAUAGAUUGAAAAUGGAUUUGAAUGUAAUUUUAAUUAAUUAAUUAAUUUGAUUAUAGCUCUAUAAUAUGU
rnacentral:rRNA from 1 species